rnacentral:rRNA from 1 species
AUUGAACGCUGGCGGCAGGCCUAACACAUGCAAGUCGAACGAGUGGCGGACGGGUGAUUAAUGUCUGGGAAACUGCCUGAUGGCGGGGGAUAACUACUGGAAACGGUAGCUACUACCGCAUACCAUCAGAUGUUCCCCGCUGGUCUUAGCUAGUUGGUGGGGUAACGGCUCACCAAGGCGACGAUCCCUAGCUGGUCUGAGAGGAUGACCAGCCAAACUGGAACUGAGACACGGUCCAGACUCCUACGGGAGGCAGCAGUGGGGAAUAUUGCACAAUGGGCGCAAGCCUGAUGCAGCCAUGCCGCGUGUGUGAAGAAGGUCUUCGGAUUGUAAAGCACUUUAAGUUGGGAGGCGUUACCAACAGAAUAAGCACCGGCUAACUUCGUGCCAGCAGCCGCGGUAAUAC